GCAGAAAUAGCUCAGUUGCAAGAGCGUUAGAUUGAAGCUCUAAAGGUCCCUGGUUCAAUCCCAGGCUUUGGCA
rnacentral:tRNA from 1 species